AAAUGUUUGGGCUUAGCUUUGCUUGGGUCCUCAACAUACAAACAGCUCAUUGUUCAACCCUAAAGACGCAACUGGUUAUCAACCUAUUCCUAUCCCUUAUUCMUCUGUCAUUCAACUACUCUAUUCAACGAAUCAACUGUUUCAACAAAUGGCAUCAAAACCAUAAUAAAACACUAAAAAG